CAUUCAGCUACAAAUUCUGCAAUGCUCUUCUUCAUGUCAUUCCACCAAUACACAUCUUUCAAAUCUUGAUACAUUUUGGUUGAUCCUGGAUGAAUGGAAUACCUUGAAAAAUGUGCCUCCGUCAUAAUCUUCUUUCUUAGCCCGUCUAUAUCCGGCACACACAAUCGGUUUUGGCACUGAAGUACUCCUUCUCGCGUAAGCUCAAAUGCCUUGGUCGCACCACUCUGAACGUUCUCCUUAAGAUGUAAUAAAAUAGGAUCUGCAUAUUGCUUCUCUUUCACUUCAGCUACUAAUGAAGAUUCCGCA
rnacentral:lncRNA from 1 species